UACGUAGGCAGCGAGCGUUGUUCGGAGUUACUGGGCGUAAAGAGUGCGUAGGCGGUUUUCUAAGUUUGGUGUGAAAUCUCCCGGCUCAACCGGGAGGGUGCGCGGGAUACUGGGGGGCUGGAGGGCAUCAGAGGAGGGCGGAAUCCCCGGUGUAGUGGUGAAAUGCGUAGAUAUCGGGGGGAACACCAGUGGCGAAGGCGGCCCUCUGGGGUGUACCUGACGCUGAGGCGCGAAAGCGUGGGGAGCGAACCGG
rnacentral:rRNA from 1 species